GACGAACGCUGGCGGCGUGCUUAACACAUGCAAGUCGAACGGAAAGGCCCUGCGUUUGUGGGGUGCUCGAGUGGCGAACGGGUGAGUAACACGUGAGUAACCUGCCCUUGACUUUGGGAGAACUUCAGGAAACUGGGGCUAUAACAGGAUAGGAGCUCCUGCAGCGUGGUGGGGGUUGGAAAGUGUCGGCGGUUGGGGAUGGACUCGCGGCUUAUCAGCUGGAUGGGGGGGUAGGGGCUUACCAAGGCUUUGACGGGUAGCCGGCCUGAGAGGGUGACCGGCCACAUUGGGACUGAGAUAGGGCCCAGAAUCCUACGGGAGGCAGCAGUGGGGAACAUUGCACAAUGGGCGGAAGCCUGAUGCAGCAACGCCGCGUGCGGGAUGACGUCCUUCGGGUUGUAAACCGCUUUCGCCUGUGACGAAGCGUGAGUGACGGUAAUGGGUAAAGAAGCACCGGCUAACUACGUG
rnacentral:rRNA from 1 species